CUGCAGCACGCGCACCAUGGCGGAGCCGAGUUCGCCGGUUGCGCGUCGCCCACUGGAUUGCUGGAUUCCAGGGACCCCUACGCCCUCCUGCUUCUUUCAGGUGCCCAGGUUUUCUCCUGGGCAUGAAGCCAUUGGGCUAUGAUGUGUGAGGUGCA